UACAGGGGGGGCAAGCGUUGUUCGGAAUUACUGGGCGUAAAGGGCUUGUAGGUGGCCAACUAAGUCAAACGUGAAAUCCCUCAGCUUAACUGGGGAACUGCGUCUGAUACUGGAUGGCUUGAGUUUGGGAGAGGGAUGCGGAAUUCCAGGUGUAGCGGUGAAAUGCGUAGAUAUCUGGAGGAACACCGGUGGCGAAGGCGGCAUCCUGGACCAACACUGACACUGAGGAGCGAAAGCCAGGGGAGCAAACGGG
rnacentral:rRNA from 1 species